CAGCAGUCUCCUGGCUUCCUGUUUCAGACUAGCAGCUGUAGCCAUUAUGAAUAAAGCAUUUUGAGAAUUUGUUAGAACAGAGGUGCAUUAGCAGAGCUGGGGUGCGGGGAGUCCAGGACUGGGAAAGCUGGUCAUGCUGCAUGUCAGGAGUGAACUGCACUGACAAAGCUUUGUGGGUAAACAGUACUACAAGAUCACAUCCAGAGUGAGAAGUGUUGGCAGAGCUCAAGUGGAGGUAUUCAGUGGUGGGGAGGAGAUCAGGAUUGGGAACACUGGGAGAAAUCAAAGUAGUGAGAAUGGGAUUCAGAAGGAGCCCUGGACUGGAACAGAAGGAAGUGCUGCAGAUUCCUCAGAUUACACUAUCACCAUCUUCCUCCCACUUCUUGUCCUGAAAUGCCAUAUCCAGACUGACCCGUCUCAAAAAGAGAAGACAUACAUUGUGUUGAUGAGCAAAGUGAGGUACAGGGAAGAAAUUAUAGGGAAUGGCAUAGAAAUGGCAUCCUGGCUCUGGCUACACCUUCUCAUUGACCCAUGCCUACGGGAAAAAGAGGUGUGA
rnacentral:lncRNA from 1 species